UUGACCUCGGAUCAGGUCGGA
rnacentral:rRNA from 1 species